ACAAUGGAGAGUUUGAUCCUGGCUCAGGAUGAACGCUAGCGGGAGGCCUAACACAUGCAAGCCGAGCGGUAUUUGUUCUUCGGAACAGAGAGAGCGGCGUACGGGUGCGGAACACGUGUGCAACCUGCCUUUAUCAGGGGGAUAGCCUUUCGAAAGGAAGAUUAAUACCCCAUAAUAUAUUUUACGGCAUCGUGGAAUAUUGAAAACUGAGGUGGAUAGAGAUGGGCACGCGCAAGAUUAGAUAGUUGGUGAGGUAACGGCUCACCAAGUCGACGAUCUUUAGGGGGCCUGAGAGGGUGAUCCCCCACACUGGUACUGAGACACGGACCAGACUCCUACGGGAGGCAGCAGUGAGGAAUAUUGGACAAUGGGUUAGCGCCUGAUCCAGCCAUCCCGCGUGAAGGACGACGGCCCUAUGGGUUGUAAACUUCUUUUGUAUAGGGAUAAACCUACUCUCGUGAGAGUAGCUGAAGGUACUAUACGAAUAAGCACCGGCUAACUCCGUGCCAGCAGCCGCGGUAAUACGGAGGGUGCAAGCGUUAUCCGGAUUUAUUGGGUUUAAAGGGUCCGUAGGCUGAUUUGUAAGUCAGUGGUGAAAUCUCACAGCUUAACUGUGAAACUGCCAUUGAUACUGCAAGUCUUGAGUGUUGUUGAAGUAGCUGGAAUAAGUAGUGUAGCGGUGAAAUGCAUAGAUAUUACUUAGAACACCAAUUGCGAAGGCAGGUUACUAAGCAACAACUGACGCUGAUGGACGAAAGCGUGGGGAGCGAACAGGAUUAGAUACCCUGGUAGUCCACGCCGUAAACGAUGCUAACUCGUUUUUGGGUUUUCGGAUUCAGAGACUAAGCGAAAGUGAUAAGUUAGCCACCUGGGGAGUACGAACGCAAGUUUGAAACUCAAAGGAAUUGACGGGGGCCCGCACAAGCGGUGGAUUAUGUGGUUUAAUUCGAUGAUACGCGAGGAACCUUACCAAGGCUUAAAUGGGAAAUGACAGGUUUAGAAAUAGACUUUUCUUCGGACAUUUUUCAAGGUGCUGCAUGGUUGUCGUCAGCUCGUGCCGUGAGGUGUUAGGUUAAGUCCUGCAACGAGCGCAACCCCUGUCACUAGUUGCCAUCAUUAAGUUGGGGACUCUAGUGAGACUGCCUACGCAAGUAGAGAGGAAGGUGGGGAUGACGUCAAAUCAUCACGGCCCUUACGCCUUGGGCCACACACGUAAUACAAUGGCCGGUACAGAGGGCAGCUACACAGUGAUGUGAUGCAAAUCUCGAAAGCCGGUCUCAGUUCGGAUUGGAGUCUGCAACUCGACUCUAUGAAGCUGGAAUCGCUAGUAAUCGCGCAUCAGCCAUGGCGCGGUGAAUACGUUCCCGGGCCUUGUACACACCGCCCGUCAAGCCAUGGAAGUCUGGGGUACCUGAAGUCGGUGACCGUAAUAGGAGCUGCCUAGGGUAAAACAGGUAACUAGGGCUAAGUCGUAACAAGGUAGCCGUACCGGAAGGUGCGGCUGGAACAUCUCAUUUUAGA
rnacentral:rRNA from 1 species